ensembl:lncRNA
UACCUGAGACGAGGCGGAAAGUCUCCACAAAAUAAAUGCUGCCAUAUCUCUUGAUGCCACAGAAGUAAAGCCUGCAGUCCUCUGCUCUGAAGUUUUUAAUCACGAGUUUGUUUCCCAGGAUUGAAAAUUUGGUUUCAAAACCAGGAGAGCAGUAGGUAGAGCCUGCUGAAGAAAAACUGCGGCCGAUACCUGCUCUGAACUGACUGUGGAUCUCCAUGUACCAGUAUCUGUCUGAUGUCUGAUUGGAGCAGGUUAGAGUGACAUUGGUCCCCAGCUCUCCUCUGACCUCGGUCACGUUCUCGGC